rnacentral:rRNA from 1 species
GACGAACCGUGCGAACGUUAUUCGGAAUCACUGGGCUUAAAGCGCGUGUAGGCGGCCGGCACGUCGGUCGCUGAAAUCCCCCGGCUCAACCGGGGAAGUGGCGCCGAUACGACCGGCCUGGAGGGGGGUAGGGGGCGCUGGAACUCACGGUGGAGCGGUGAAAUGCGUUGAUAUCUACAGGAACUCCGGUGGCGAAGGCGGCACGCUGGACCUUUUCUGACGCUGAGGCGCGAAAG